rnacentral:lncRNA from 1 species
AAUGAUACAUGUAUCUCAAGGCUGAAAUAUUCGAAACUUUAAGAUACAAAGGAAGGAAUUGAUGAAGAAGAUGAAGUUUACAAUUGCAAAAUUAUUAUGAUUUGUUAUUUCAUUAUUUUAGGAAAACUUGUUAAAGUUGAUACGCAAGGAUCUUGUAAAUGAGUUGUUAAUUAUUUAUCAAUUAAUCCUUUAAUUAAGGAAAUAAGUUACACC